AUCCAACUGAUCAGUCCCAAAUAGAACGAAACUUAUGUCUUGGAU
rnacentral:hammerhead_ribozyme from 1 species